rnacentral:lncRNA from 1 species
GCCAGAGUAAAUACAGACUGUGACAUUGUAAUAACUGGACAAGAACAUCUGUGCAAGGAUGACGACAUUACAUGCAAUGCUACUGAUGCUGUUUGUUGCAUCAGUCUUUUCAAAAGCAUUUCAUUUGCGCAGAAGAUUUGAUUCAUCAGACUCUGUGCGAUCUAGAUUCAGUUCAGAGGAAAAUGAUUCAAGCAGAGAAGACAGGGAGGAUUCACAGUCGGAUGAGAAAUCUGAAUCAAACGGGUCUAAAUCAAGUGAUUCUGACUCUUCGGAGGAAGAUAUCAGAGUUGUGUCAAGCACAUUCCCUCCAGCUAGCACAACAAGUCCAUCGACCGCUGGCAAGACAACAGCAACCCCAUCAACUACCACGACACAAGACAUCACAAACUGUGUUACUGUGGAUCUGACACCUAAGAAGGGGUCAUAAUGAUAAUGUCAAUAUAAUACCUUGCACUAAUACUGUUUAAUCAUCUUUUCAUGCAAAACAAACAAAAGCUGAAUGGUGUACAAUUCACUGGAGCUUACAGUAUAAAGUAAUAUUAUACUGUAUUAUACUGUAAUAUUAUAUUAUAGUGCAGAAGAUUUGAUUCAUCAGACUCUGUGCGAUCUAGAUUCAGUUCAGAGGAAAAUGAUUCAAGCAGAGAAGACAGGGAGGAUUCACAGUCGGAUGAGAAAUCUGAAUCAAACGGGUCUAAAUCAAGUGAUUCUGACUCUUCGGAGGAAGAUAUCAGAGUUGUGUCAAGCACAUUCCCUCCAGCUAGCACAACAAGUCCAUCGACCGCUGGCAAGACAACAGCAACCCCAUCAACUACCACAACACAAGACAUCACAAACUGUGUUACUGUGGAUCUGACACCUAAGAAGGGGUCAUAAUGAUAAUGUCAAUAUAAUACCUUGCAGUAAUACUGUUUAAUCAUCUUUUCAUGCAAAACAAACAAAAGCUGAAUGGUGUACAAUUCACUGGAGCUUACAGUAUAAAGUAAUAUUAUACUGUAUUAUACUGUAAUAUUAUAUUAUAGUACUGAUAAUGACGGUCUUGACACUGAAUGAUGUAACUUUUAAAAUUAUUUACUUUUAAAUUGCAUGUCCCCAU